CCUAAUCUGUAAUUGCAUUGAAUCUGUAUUCGUACAUUAGUAAGUAAAUAUGAAGAAAUUGCGGGUGCUUCUUUUGGUAUAUUUCAUUUGUGUCAGCGAAAUGUUCGACGGGGUCGAAUCGUCGGGAAAAACCAGUGACGGGAAAAUGACGGACGUGUUAAACAAGGGUCGUCGUAUCAGGGAAUGUCAACCGAGAGAAAUUGUAGGUAUUUGCAAGGUACAGUGCAAAAAACUGAAACUGCAAUAUUGUGUAAAAGAUUCGCUUAUGUGCAAAUGUCCGUAGAAAAUUUAACACGCUGUUACAUAAUGCACUCCACGAUAAAGACAAUUGAGAAUAGAGACGACGAUUCCGAUAUUUGUCAUAGAUAAAAUGCAAUUAUGGUUUCAUGAGUACAAAAAUAAAAUUUAAAAUCUUAAGAAA